rnacentral:rRNA from 1 species
GAGACCGGCGCACGGGUGCGUAACGCGUAUGCAAUCUACCUUUUACAGAGGGAUAGCCCAGAGAAAUUUGGAUUAAUACCUCAUAGUAUUAUGAAAUGGCAUCAUUUUGUAAUUAAAGUCACAACGGUAAAAGAUGAGCAUGCGUCCCAUUAGCUAGUUGGUAAGGUAACGGCUUACCAAGGCUACGAUGGGUAGGGGUCCUGAGAGGGAGAUCCCCCACACUGGUACUGAGACACGGACCAGACUCCUACGGGAGGCAGCAGUGAGGAAUAUUGGACAAUGGGCGCAAGCCUGAUCCAGCCAUGCCGCGUGCAGGAUGACGGUCCUAUGGAUUGUAAACUGCUUUUAUACGAGAAGAAACACUACUUCGUGAAGUAGCUUGACGGUAUCGUAAGAAUAAGGAUCGGCUAACUCCGUGCCAGCAGCCGCGGUAAUACGGAGGAUCCAAGCGUUAUCCGGAAUCAUUGGGUUUAAAGGGUCCGUAGGCGGUUUAAUAAGUCAGUGGUGAAAGCCCAUCGCUCAACGGUGGAACGGCCAUUGAUACUGUUAAACUUGAAUUAUUAGGAAGUAACUAGAAUAUGUAGUGUAGCGGUGAAAUGCUUAGAGAUUACAUGGAAUACCAAUUGCGAAGGCAGGUUACUACUAAUGGAUUGACGCUGAUGGACGAAAGCGUGGGUAGCGAACAGGAUUAGAUACCCUGGUAGUCCACGCCGUAAACGAUGGAUACUAGCUGUUGGAAGCAAUCUCAGUGGCUAAGCGAAAGUGAUAAGUAUCCCACCUGGGGAGUACGUUCGCAAGAAUGAAACUCAAAGGAAUUGACGGGGGCCCGCACAAGCGGUGGAGCAUGUGGUUUAAUUCGAUGAUACGCGAGGAACCUUACCAAGGCUUAAAUGUAGAUUGA